rnacentral:rRNA from 1 species
UACGUAGGGGGGCAAGCGUUGUCCGGAAUCAUUGGGCGUAAAGCGCGUGUAGGCGGCUUGGUAAGUCCGCUCUGAAAGCCCGGGGCUCAACCCCGGGAGGCGGGUGGAUACUGUCAAGCUCGAGUCCGGAAGAGGCGAGUGGAAUUCCUGGUGUAGCGGUGAAAUGCGCAGAUAUCAGGAGGAACACCAAUGGCGAAGGCAGCUCGCUGGGACGUGACUGACGCUGAGACGCGAAAGCGUGGGGAGCAAACAGG